CCAAAAUGAAUCAACGGGUGCCCAGGUAGUAAAAUAAAAGGGGUGUAAAGAAAACAUUAGCCUAAACUCCAUUAUCAACACUAAAAUUUAAUUUAGUGUACAUUUAUUGAAAUAAAAUAGCAGUGUAAUAAGUUGGAAAUAAAAGGGAGAAAAACAAAAUUAGAGGAACAUUGACUCGUUUAUGAUCUUUUACUCUUCUUCACCAGGGCUGGUCCGAAAAUGGCAUGUGGUAUCUAGUUGUUAAAAUAAACAAAAUAAAAGCUAACAUUAAAUCUUAACAGCUAAUGAGAAAAGUGUUUCAAUCAACUCCUCCAAAAUUUCUACAUAUUUACAUAUUUUAGUCUCAAAGCAAACCAUAGCUUCUACUCAAGCAAAAAACUAUAUCACAGUAACAAUCCACAAAUGAAUACAGUAUCAAAAAUCAAAGUACAAGAAAUGAAAUAAACCAGAUUGAAUCAAAAAUUUCAAAACAAUCACAAAUUAAUUCCAUACUCACACACAUCCUCUAACAGAAACUCAAUAAUUACUGAAUCGCAUCAUUCAUCAGUAACUACACAAAUACCGCCAUCAAUUUAUGCAACAGAUCCAUUAUAAUAACGCAACGACAAACCAAUAAAAGCAAUAAAAUAUCUUAAACAUGUCACGGUGUCAAACCGAAUUUGUUAUGGAUUCGUUACCGUAAGAUAUGAACGAUGUGUGACGAUGUCGAUGCGUCGGCAUUUGGAAUCGGACAGGUGGUCCAGUGAAGAGGGCGACGAAAUAGAAGGUAAAUCGGAAACAAAUCGGUGGCGAGGUGAGUUGGUGGACGGCGGCUGAGAUGUUAAGGUUAUAGAGCUUCGUCGGUGACGGUAGAGAUCGGAAGAAGGGAGGUGACGAUUUGAAGGGUGAAGAACGGCGAGGUUUAAUGAUGACGGUGGUGUGGAGUUGUUAUCG
rnacentral:lncRNA from 1 species